AGCGGCGGCGGCGAUGAGGAGGAGCGCGGGGGGGGGCGGCGGCGGGACGGCCGGUUGUUCGCGCCGCUGAAGGGACACGAAGCAGCGCCGCGCCGAGGCGGGGGCGGGGGGCCCCGAGUCUCGCUGCCCCCCCCGCAGCCCCGCCGGGGAGUUUCUUCCACAUCCCCCCCUCAAACACACCGAGACCCCCCCCCGUCCCUCGGGGGCGGCCCCGCGGAGCGCCGCUCCCUCCUCCUCCUCCCCCUUUAUUACCCUUUGUGUGCGUCUCCGCCUUCCUCCCUGCGCCCGGGGGCCCUGAGAUCUUUGCUGACGAUGGUGGUCRCUGGAGGCAGCACUGGUGAAGAUUUCAUCAUUUACAGACAAGAUCUCUGAAAUCUGUUUCCUUCAGACAGCAAAGGAAGAAGAGACUUCACCGCAACAAAACGGGCAAAAAACCKCCAACACUUGAAGAAACAGCACUUGUGGAAUUGUUCCCUAAAAUCCCAACACCCACAAAUCCCGAGGGAUUGCACCCACCAGUCUUCCUGAAUUCAGCAGAAUUAAUGGGGUGCAGGAGUUCCUGAGAUGAGGGGAGGAGCCGACCCCAAUGGACAUUGCCCAUCGUCGAGAGCACCA